rnacentral:rRNA from 1 species
GAUGAACGCUGGCGGCGUGCUUAACACAUGCAAGUCGAGCGAGUGAGUUCUUCGGAACGAUCUAGCGGCGGACGGGUGAGUAACACGUGGGCAACCUGCCUCAUAGAGGGGAAUAGCCUCCCGAAAGGGAGAUUAAUACCGCAUAAAAUUAUCGAGUGGCAUCACAUGAUAAUCAAAGGAGUAAUCCGCUAUGAGAUGGGCCCGCGGUGCAUUAGCUAGUUGGUGAGGUAACGGCUCACCAAGGCGACGAUGCGUAGCCGACCUGAGAGGGUGGUCGGCCAAAUUGGGACUGAGACACGGCCCAGACUCCUACGGGAGGCAGCAGUGGGGAAUAUUGCACAAUGGGGGAAACCCUGAUGCAGCAACGCCGCGUGAGUGAUGAAGGUCUUCGGAUUGUAAAGCUCUGUCUUUGGGGACGAUAAUGACGGUACCCAAGGAGGAAGCCACGGCUAACUACGUGCCAGCCGCCGCCGUAA